rnacentral:rRNA from 1 species
UACGGGGGGGGCAAGCGUUGUUCGGAAUUGCUGGGCGUAAAGGGCUCGUAGGCGGCCAACUAAGUCGGAUGUGAAAUCCCCAGGCUUAACCUGGGAACUGCAUCCGAUACUGGAUGGCUUGAAUCCGGGAGAGGGAUGCAGAAUUCCAGGUGUAGCGGUGAAAUGCGUAGAUAUCUGGAGGAAUACCGAUGGCGAAGGCAGCCUCCUGGGCCAACACUGACGCUCAUGCACGAAAGCGUGGGGAGCAAACAGG